AGAGGCAACAACAGCAGUGGUAGAAGAAGAGAGAGCGAGAGAGAGAGAAGAGUAGGGCUGAGAGAGAAACUAUAGAGAGAGAAUGUCCUCUGUUCUUUUUCCAGUUCAGUUAGCCCUCUCUUCCCACUCUUGAGACAGAAUAACAAUAAUGUUUUCUCAGACCAGCUCUAUUGUGUCAUGGAUGGGUCUGGACAGUGACACACAGCUGAAAUAACAAGGAGGGACAUUGUUUCUGUUCAGGCAGGUGGAAAGAGAAAAAAACAGAGAGAGGCAGCCUGGUUCAGAUGAUUCCGGGCCGCUACGUAUUUCCAGGUCUAUGGACAUGCAGGAUCUAGCCAGUCCUCACAGCCGUGAAUCCCCUAAUGGUCCCAGCCUCGACAACUCCCAUAUCAAUACCAAUUCCAUGACCCCCAAUGGCACUGAAGUUAAAACAGAACCAAUGAGCAGCAGUGACAUCACCACCCCAGUAGCCGACGCCUCCCUAGAC